rnacentral:rRNA from 1 species
CCUCAAGAUGAGAUAUCCCAUAACGUGAAGUUAGUAAGACCCCUUGAAGACGACGAGGUAGAUAGGGCAGAGGUGGAAGUGCCGUAAGGCAUGGAGCUGACUGUUACUAAUAGGUCGAGGGCAUAACCAA